GAAUCCCGUCUUUGACACGGACUGCCUGUACAUUAUGGUGUGCUCUCGAAGAGUCGAGUUGUUUGGGAAUGCAGCUCAAAAUGGGUGGUAAAUGCCAUCUAAAGCUAAAUAUUGGCGAGAGACCGAUAGCGAACAAGUACCGUGAGGGAAAGAUGAAAAGAACUUUGGAAAGAGAGUUAAACAGUACGUGAAAUUGCUGAAAGGGAAACGCUUGAAGUCAGUCACGUUGGCUAGAAAUCAACCUUGCUUUUGCUUUGUGUACUUUCUGGUUGACGGGUCAGCAUCAAUUUUGACCACUGGAUAAAGUCUUUGGGAAUGUGGCAUCUUUGGAUGUGUUAUAGCCCAUUGUCGCAUACGGUGGUUGGGAUUGAGGAACUCAGCACGCCGCAAGGCCGGGUUUCGACCACGUUCGUGCUUAGGAUGCUGGCAUAAUGGCUUUAAUCGACCCGUCUUGAAACACGAACCAAGGAGUCUAACAUGCCUGCGAGUGUUUGGGUGGAAAAACCCAUGCGCGCAAUGAAAGUGAAAGUUGAGAUCCUCUUCAAAGGGGGAGCAUUGACGCCCGGACCAGACCUUUUGUGACGGAUCCGCGGUAGAGCAUGCAUGUUGGGACCCGAAAGAUGGUGAACUAUGCCUGAAUAGGGUGAAGCCAGAGGAAACUCUGGUGGAGGCUCGUAGCGAUUCUGACGUGCAAAUCGAUCGUCAAAUUUGGGUAUAGGGGCGAAAGACUAAUCGAACCAUCUAGUAGCUGGUUCCUGCC
rnacentral:rRNA from 1 species